UAAUCGUUGUUCUGCCUGGGCAUCUGAACCAGUUCUUAAUGCAUACGUUUACUCGCAGUAUACAUAGUCAGCCAUUUAAAUCUUUAUUUCGAGUUUUAUUUUUAUAUUAAAACUACAGUAGUUACGAUGGAAACACCUGUUAUGCUGAAUCGGCCAAUCAGAGAGCGCGAUCCAGCGCGAUUUCAUUUAACUUUAUUUACGUUCGAAAUUCACUUACUUCUGGUGAAUCAAUUUCACUGAGAGGCAACUUACAUGAUGGCGCAUCACAAAACAAACAUUUUCUGCGGAUUUCUUUGCUGUUGGACCAAGAAGAAGCAGCAGCGUGACAUCGCCGCUACUCAAGGAGCACUGGAUGAUCAAGUUACCAAGAAGAAGCCCCAGAAGAAGAGGUUCAAACUUGGACGCAAGUUUCCAUGGCUGAAGCGUGUGACGUCCGGAGCAAAGGAGAGCUCAGACGAUGACGGACGCGUGUCCGUUGACUGCAGGGACUCUGGAGACAACAAAACUCUCACCAGCAGCCAGAGUCCCAGCCUUGUCACUGUGGACUCAGAGUCACUAACGUUUGGAAGCUCCUCUACUGGAAGUAACGUAGAGGAGCACCAGUCCCCUCUGGAGGUGACACGUGACAUCCCACCUAAUGAGGGACCUUUCCUGCCCCUGAGAAGGAUCCCCAAGUGGCAGAUUCUCCCCUGCAUGGCGGAUAGGGGUGAUGUGGGGGAUGGAGAACACCAGCGGCUGGUCUGCCUCGGGCUACCAAACCUGGGACAGACCUGCUACAUGAACGCCACCCUGCAGUGUCUCUUCCACCUGCCAACAUUCUGCGAGGACGUCAGGAGGCAGGAAGAACACUGGGAUUUGGUCCCCUAUGCUGACCUGAUCAGACAUUUUGCUGAACUUCUACCUGCAAGACUUGGAUCAAGCUCGAAGCAGAAGAAGACUUUCUUGAGAAACCUAAUUCAUUCGGUUUCGGACCAGUUUGCUGAAGAUGAGCAGAAUGACGCCCAUGAGUUCUUCAGCUGCCUGAUAUCGCAGCUGAAUGAGCUGGGGAAGCUAAUUCAGGCCUGGGAGACAACAGCCGCGUACGCCUGUCCUGUGGAAGGAAACCUAUCGUUCGAGAUGCUGUGCCAGAGGACGUGUACCAGCUGUGGAGCACAGUCCUCCAGGAUGGAAGAAUUUACGAAUCUCUCCCUGGACGUCCUCCCACAUUCGUCAGUGGAAGACCUGCUGAAGAUCUACUUCAAGGAUUCCGAGGUGGAGUUCAGAUGUGCCACCUGCAGGGGGAGCCAUGCUGUCCUGUCAUGGGCAUUUAUUACACUGCCUCGUGUCCUGGUCCUGCACAUGAAGAGAUUCAGCUUCACACCACAGUUUGAGCUGGUCAAAGUGCAGGACCCAGUUCUCCUCCGCAGGGAGAUCUCCCUGCUCCCCCACUUCAGGGAGAUCUCCCAGCUGACAGGGACACCCCAGGCAGCACGGCUCCAGGAAGCUCACCUGAUGGAUGGCCAGACCACACAGGAGGCAGAAAUGCCGGCUGAAGAACAACCAGGGGAUGCUUCAAGGAUGUUAAGUGGAGAUGCAGAGGAAGAUGCUGCUUUGGAGGAGGACAGCGAUACCGUCUGCAAGAACCUGCCUACAGUGGAAUCACUGCCCCCUACAGCAGCUGGACCAGAGACAGAGCAGCAAACACCUGCACUGCUGAGGGCGGAAACAGUGGUUUCCGAGACGUCGGAAGAGCAGCCAGUCGGACACCAGUACCAGCUUGUCGGUAUUCUCAGCCACCUUGGCUCCAGCGCCACCUCUGGUCACUACGUCAGCGACAACUUUAGCGUGGCAGAGAAGGGCUGGCUGUCUUUCAGUGACCACGUAGUGACCAGAUCAGAGGAGGAGCAUGUGCUGAGAAUGAGGCAGAGCAGCGCGUACAUGCUGUUCUACACCCAGCAGGAGGACUUACACUGAAGACAGCUGAUGCCUCCAUACUGGGGACUAAUACUUAAAAGUAUGGAAGUAGGAGAACAUGGAAGAGGACCGGAAGCAGACGUCUGCAUGAACCUGCGUUGGAUAUCACCAUCGCCAUUUUCACCGGGACAAUCUACAGCAGCAGUCCUCCCUAUUUAGAUAACAUUUAGAUAAUGUCCAUUUUCUUUUAUUUACACUAUAUUGCCAAAAGUUUUGGGACACCUACCUUUACAGACAUAUGAACUUUAAUGACAUCCCACUCUUAAUACACAGGCUUUAAUAUUGAGUUGGCCAAUAUUGCCACUAACAGUUGACUGUGGAAUAUUUAGUAGUGAGGAAUGGACAGGUGUCAUCCUAUCAAGGUACCACGCUUCAGUUCACUGAGCUCCUGAGAGCGACCCAUUCUUUGGUAAAUGUUAAUAGAUGCAGUCUGCAUGCCUAGGUGUUUGAUUUAAUACAUCUGUGGCUGUGGAAGUGAUUGGACCACCUUUGGAGGGGUGUCCCAAAACGUAUGGCAAUAUAUCGUAUGUCAGAAUAAAUCGAUUGUAGAUAGGAAGUAUUGCGUGACCAUAUGUGAUGGACCAAGUUACAAGCAUAGGGGGAAGUAAUAUAAUGUCAUAUAAUGUACAAUAAUUAAUAACAAAAUAACAUUGCUUGUUUUACACCAGUCAUAUGAAAGUGUUGAUAAUUUUCAUGGUCCCUGAGGAAUUUGUUUAUAGCAUCUGCUUUCUGCAGGGACCUUUAUUUGAACAAUUGUAUUACUUUGUUAAGAAAUGCAAAAUCUGUGAACAUUUGUUGUAUUAAAAUGUCAAGCAUUUUGUUUGUACGCAAA